rnacentral:lncRNA from 1 species
CCAGAGCGUGUGGGGCUGGGAGUGGGGGGUGAACCAGCAAGUUGAACAAAAAAUGUUUCUGUUCAUUUCCUCACAGAUCAUCCAUUCUAACGACGGGGAAAAAAAUCUUAAUGACUAUGACCUUAGCAGCAUGGCUAGCUGAUUUAUCCCCGUUAUAAAUCCCGUUAGUUUGCGGUAAUGUAUCUACAGGAGCUUUGCCUCAUUCGAUUUACAAUACGGACAGUGAAAGAGGUGGAAGGCUGCAGAAAGACAGGAUGUUUUCUUGAGUCUUUCAGUAUCUUAUUAAAAAGACUUCAGACUCAUCAGGAUCUUACUUUUCUUUAUGGAGGACUGUCUUCAGUGUUCGCACCAGCAUUUGGUUUAUUGGCCAAACCAUUUGGUUUAUUCUUGCAGAAUAUGAAUUGCCCAGUAUUUCAGCAUCGCAUUAAAGAAUGGGUCUGUAGACAGACACGUGUAACUAAAGCAUUGCACAUUAAAAUACUUUGAAAACUGACUAAAAUGGGUAAUAUAUGCCAGUGUCCCUGUAUAUUCAUCGCUUAUGGAAAACAAUUUGGAGGGUGUGGCUGUGCUCUCUGUAGGGCGCUCUGUUUGCUGGAGUAUGUAGCAUGAAAAACGUAAUGUGAAUUUACCAUUCUCACAAAAAAACCAAACCAAACCAAAGUAUGUGCAUAUUGUAUUUUGUGGUUGAGAUUUUAUACAUGCCAAAGACAAGAAAUUCAGUUAUGAUUCCCACAGCGACUGUAAAUUGGCUAUGACGCAUACAUUU